GGGCCAUACCGGCAGGCGUACCAUGCAGUCGAGCGGAUGAAGGGAGCUUGCUCCUGGAUUCAGCGGCGGACGGGUGAGUAAUGCCUAGGAAUCUGCCUGGUAGUGGGGGAUAACGUCCGGAAACGGGCGCUAAUACCGCAUACGUCCUGAGGGAGAAAGUGGGGGAUCUUCGGACCUCACGCUAUCAGAUGAGCCUAGGUCGGAUUAGCUAGUUGGUGGGGUAAAGGCCUACCAAGGCGACGAUCCGUAACUGGUCUGAGAGGAUGAUCAGUCACACUGGAACUGAGACACGGUCCAGACUCCUACGGGAGGCAGCAGUGGGGAAUAUUGGACAAUGGGCGAAAGCCUGAUCCAGCCAUGCCGCGUGUGUGAAGAAGGUCUUCGGAUUGUAAACACUUUAAGUUGGGAGAAGGGCGUAAGUUAUACCUUGCUGUUUUGCGUUACCAACAAAAUAGCACCGGCUACUUCGUGCCGCAGCCGCGGUAUACGAAGGGUGCAAGCGUUAAUCGGAAUUACUGGGCGUAAAGCGCGCGUAUGUGGUUCAGCAAGUUGGAUGUGAUAUCCCCGGGCUCAACCUGGGAGCUGCGUCCAAAGCUACUGAGCUAGAUUACGGUAAAGGGUGAUGGAAUUUCCCUUAUAGCCGGAAGGGCAGUGAACA
rnacentral:rRNA from 1 species